CCGUAAAAUAAGCCGAAUCUCCAAAAGGAGUACGAGGAACAUUUUUUUGGGGUGAAUCUUAAUAUUAAGUAGGGGAUCCUCUACGCAAACUCGACAACUAACCUGGGAGGCAAUAUGGAGGGAAACA
rnacentral:sRNA from 2 species